rnacentral:rRNA from 1 species
UACGGAGGAUCCGAGCGUUAUCCGGAUUUAUUGGGUUUAAAGGGUGCGCAGGCGGGGGAUUAAGUCGGCGGUGAAAUUUUGCAGCUCAACUGUAAAAGUGCCUUCGAAACUGGUUUACUUGAGUGUAGAUGAAGUAGGCGGAAUUUGUGGUGUAGCGGUGAAAUGCAUAGAUAUCACGAGGAACUCCGAUUGCGCAGGCAGCUUACUAAACUACUACUGACGCUCAGGCACGAAGGCGUGGGGAUCAAACAGGAUUAGAUACCCUGGUAGU